UGCGCCAUGAGAGCCAAGUGGAGGAAGA
rnacentral:piRNA from 1 species